rnacentral:rRNA from 1 species
CCUACGGGAGGCUGCAGUGGGGAAUAUUGGACAAUGGGGGGAACCCUGAUCCAGCCAUGCCGCGUGUGUGAAGAAGGCCCUCGGGUUGUAAAGCACUUUCAGUGAGGAAGAACGCCUGGUGGUUAAUACCCAUCAGGAAAGACAUCACUCACAGAAGAAGCACCGGCUAACUCCGUGCCAGCAGCCGCGGUAAUACGGAGGGUGCGAGCGUUAAUCGGAAUUACUGGGCGUAAAGCGCGCGUAGGUGGCUUGAUAAGCCGGUUGUGAAAGCCCCGGGCUCAACCUGGGAACGGCAUCCGGAACUGUCAAGCUAGAGUGCAGGAGAGGAAGGUAGAAUUCCCGGUGUAGCGGUGAAAUGCGUAGAGAUCGGGAGGAAUACCAGUGGCGAAGGCGGCCUUCUGGACUGACACUGACACUGAGGUGCGAAAGCGUGGGUAGCAAACAGGAUUAAUACCCGUGUAGUC